GUCCAGGGACGGGAAACGAACCCACAGUGCUCCGCUUACCGGGCAGAUGCCAUGUCCACUAGGUUACCCUGGA
rnacentral:tRNA from 1 species